rnacentral:lncRNA from 10 species
UGGGAUUACAGAUGUCCGCCAUCACGCCCUGCUAAUUUUUGUAUUUUAAGUAGAGACAGGGUUUUGCCAUGUUGGCCAGGAUGGUCUCAAACUGCUGACCUCAGGUGAUCCGCCUGCCUCAGCCUCCAAAAGUGCUGGGGUUACAGGCAUGAGCCACCGUGCCCAGCCUCCAAAUCCAAUCUUAACAUUGCUGUUGAGAUUGAAAGAGUUGGCAGCUGAGGUCAGGUGGUGGAUGAGGAAAAGCUGGUGGCUCCACGAUUCUGAGCUGAGGGUGUCAAAGGAGAUGGAGUGGAUGAUAGGAGAGAAGCAGGCUACUGAACACGCUGGCUUAGGAGUGGCUGUGAGAUAGCCCCUUUCCCCAAAUGUACCCAAAUGUACCCAAGAAGGUGCAACUUUAAAGUAGAAGAUGCUCCACGGAGUUACCUAUGGGCACAGGAAAAGGGCAAAGAGCAAAACUAUAUUUCUCCAAACAGCUUUUCCCGAUACUCAUAUUUACCACUGCCUUAUGUAAUUUCUCAUUUUCAUGAAUACUAGGAUUUUUACCACCAUCCUUCAUCAAGCAGGUAGAGAUAAUGCCAUAUCUUUUUAUUUGCCCUACUGUGUUUAUUUACAAUAUUAGCUUAUUAAGUAAUUGGCUGAUCAUUAUGAGAGUUUGUAUUAUUUCCCUUUUAUGUCAUUUAGAAU